rnacentral:RNase_P_RNA from 1 species
UGUGGCGGGCGAUCGCUGGUUUGACACCCGUUUGGCCAGAGGAAAGUCCGAACACCGGAAGGCGGCAUGCCUCGUGAAAUCGAGGGCGCUCGGGAUGUAAAUCCCGGGCGACGGAAAGUGUCACAGAAAAUAUACCGCCCAGCACUACCUUUACGACGUUGACGUACCGAGCAAGCGCUCGAGUCAAAAUGGCGCAAAGGUGGUGCUGGGUAAGGUUGAAAAGGCGGGGUAAGAGCCCACCGGGCUUUCGCGUAAGCGUAGCCGCACGAAAAACCCCAUGUGGUGCAAGACAAAGCAGAGGGAAGGGUUGCCUGCCCGUUCUCCCGCGAAAGCGGAAGAAACCCUCGGGUAUUAGUCGCAUCCGGCGCCACCCGGCGCCAGUUUCAGGUCGGGCAGUGAGACCGGGGGCAGGUUUCUGUCGAAUCUGAAAGUGGGGCUGGGUGGUGCUGGGCGCUUGGGAAACUGAGUGAGAUAAAUGAUCGCCAUCUCGCGAAAGCGGGAACAGAAUUCGGCUUAUGCCACAAAAG